GCACUUAACUCUAAUGAACAUUUAAGAGGUAUAUAGUCUAAAUUAGAAUGCAUUAUAGUUGUGAAAUGUGCAGUGGAUUUCAAAUUCUUACGACACAAAAAAUUAAAAUGUGUAAAAUUAACUCUUUCUGAGUUAUGUCCUCAUAUGUGAUGCAUGGUUUCAGUCCAUACCUCUGCUCUGUGAGGUUCACACCUCUGUUCUCAGACUUAAUAUUUACUUACUUAUAUUCCAAUCUCUCCACAGUGGUUCAUAUGUAAUUUUCUACAGUAUAUUUAUUUUGCAACAUUAACAGUUGUGCUUGGCAGUUAUUAGAUUCUGAAAAAAAAUUAAUCAAACUUUAUUUUCUAAUAAGUAGUGCUUAUUUCACAUGUAAGUGAUAUAGACCUGUUGUAAAAAUUUUAUAAAUAAUUUAUUUUUCUAGUUUAGGAGAUAUUUUUACAAUCGGUAUCAUUUCUAGAUAUCUCUAUGUUUUCAUUUUAUCUAGACAGUAGUUACAAUGUUUUCUCUAAUUGCUGAAGAAACUCUCAUACCAAACUAAUUUCAAUUCCGUACAUUGUGUCAUCUGCUGUGUGUCAGCUUCUAUUUUAAGUGGCACAAAUAGGCGGCAAAUGAAGAAAACAACCCUGUUUCCAAGUAUUAAAUUUGAGAUAGAGCAUGCAGAAAAAGCAAGAAAAAAUAAUUUAACUCAGAAAUGCAUCAACAACAAUAAAGUUAACCUUAGCUUUAGGUGAUAUGAUGAAGGAAGACAUCUGUGAUAAACUGAAUUUUAAACUGAGAAAUCUGCUGAAAAGGAACAGAAAUACAAUGAUAUCAUUAAAGUUCCUAGCUGAAAGAGGAAGGUAUAGGGGACCUGAAUCAUUAAUAGGGCUGGCCUGAAUGAGGAACACCAUGGAAACCAGUACAACUUGAGUAGCAUUAAGUGAUUAUGAGUAGAAUAGUGGACAAGAUCAAAUAAAUGGGCCAGCACAGCUCAUGGACGGGCCUAUGCCUUAGGUGAGCAUUUGAAUAUACUUUGUAAGGGCAAUAUAAUAUUGUUCCUAUUUUUGACACAUUUGAAAAUAUAACAUUUAAAAUGUGUUAUUCCAUUGCAUAAAGGAUGAAUUUUAGCACGUGUGAUUUGUUAAAAUCAAGGAGAUCAUUUAGAAAUUCUUUUAGUAAAACAAAGGCAGAAGGUGAUGAUUGAAAAAAAAACAUUUUCAGUGGAGAUGAAAUUCAGACAGUGUAAGUUUUUACACAGUUUAAACCUUUGCCCUAUAUAUUGGUCCCACUAUGUAUUAACCAAAGAAUCUUGUUUUCAUUGAAUAUAUUUACACUUUUCUAAGGUAGAUUUAUACUAAAUUAUAUUUUUCUAUGCAUUUUUGGUAACCUUAGACAAGUAGCGUAAAUCUUACACAACUAUGAAGAAUGAAAUACUAAGACUGAUAAAUUAUUUUCUAAGCAUCAAAUUGUUAAUUAAUUGGGAUAGAAUUCCUCAUUUUGAAACUAUAGCACUACUUUUAAUGCAUAAUAUCACCUCUCCUUUACUAAAGAACCUAUCAAAUGAACAAAUUUAAAUUUAAUUUUGGCUUGUGUAAAGAUGCCUUCCCAGCUCUCACGCAGUCAUUGGUGGGGCUUUUAGGUGACUGGAUCUAGAGUGCGGGAUGCUGGAAUUGAUUCAUGGUGCAUUGCUAGGGCACUAGGAAUAAGGGUGUGAGUGCCACUCAUCCUAUUUUGUCCUGGAUGAGAUAUAAGGGAUAGAAAGAGCUAUGGGUGUCCCUUCUUGCUUUUCUACCUGAACCCUUCCAUGAACUGUUUUUCCUCCCCAGUGCCUGUUGACAUGACACCUCCCUUGGAGCCAGCCAAUUACAGACUCAAAUCUUUUAACUGUGGGCUAAAGAGAAACAAGACAUUUGGUUAGAAAAAACAUUAAUUUUUAGAAUGUAAUAAUGUACGAUUACAAAAAUCUUCACUGCUAUCUACUAAUUUUGACUUUAUACUUGGAAAUAGUGUAGUUUUGCUUUGAAUUGAUAAUUUGGUUGAUUUUGACUUUAGAGUCUUUGAUUAUGGUGAGGAACAGAAUAUCAAAAUAUCAUACUUAAAUAAAUUUAGACUAUUUAAUGUGAUUGAAACCCUCUUUGAGUACACAGUUGACCAAUUUUCAAGGGUGCAGUAGUCUGUAUUUACCUGAAUUUUUACACCUAUAAAAUAAUUUAAUCAUUUGCAGUAACUAUAAACAGCAAAUAUAAUUUUUCUAAAUAUAAAAUAUCAUUAUAACAUACAGAAGUAAAUAUUAUAUUGCUAUAAAAAUACAAAAAUAUAUUUAUGAAUAUUUUGGGACCUAAAGUAUAACUUAUAAAGUCAUGGGAUGUUUAUGCAGGUUUUUACUUUGUAUAUAGUGUGUAUUCUUCAAAAAGAAUAGCAAAUUAUUGACCAGUUACAUAAAUUGUGCAAUCAAUGCAUAACUAUUAAUAAAAUGAUAUCAACUAUUCAACAAGGUCAAUUUUGUACUUUGUAGUAGGAAACCCAGAAGGUAAUAAUAAAUAUCACAAUGAAACAUCAUCAGUAGAAAAAUGUUAGAAAGUUUUAAAAUUCUACAUUUUUAAAUAUAUUCUAAGUAUAAAAUUUCAAUGAUAAAAAAUUUCUUGACAAAAAUGAAUCCAGAAUAACUGAAUAGAUAAAUGGACUCUUCAAUGGUAUAUAGACUGCAGUGUCCUCUGAUUAAAUGUAUGUGACAGCACCGAGUGUAGUUUGGUUAUUGCAUUUACUUUAAGAGUGCUGCCAGUUCUUACAAUAAUCACUAGUUUUGCAUUCUCAAAAAUGAACCCUGAAGAAUGACUACAAUGUUCGUCAUUUUGUUUUAUGGUACUCAUGGCCUUAUGGCAUUUGUUCUCCCUUCGGGAGUUUGAAGUUAGUAGAAAACAUUUAACAAGGAAUUGCAUCCAAGGUCCAUUAAAGGCACUAGAUUUUAUACUUUGCCCUUUUUUUCUUCAGCAUUCACACUUUGCCUAGCAUAUUUUUAGAGUUAGGAGAAAUUCAUGGAGAAUCAGCCUAAAAAUAUUUAUUUUAAUACUGUAAAAUUUAAAUGAACUUCCAGUCACUUCCCAAAUGUGUUACAGAAAAAUUUGGAUAAGACUGAAUCUACAAAACAAAAGAUUGAAGGGGGGAAGCAGAGAAAUCAAUAGUAAAAAAAUAACUAAUUGAGUCUUUUACAUGUAUCACCUCCUCAUGAUGAAUUUAAUCAUUUUAUAAAGACUUUGUGCAUACAUAUGCACAUUUGUAAAUAUACAAACACAUUAACUUGUUUGUAUUUAUCUUAAUUAACAAGAUAUUUUUGUAAUCAAUUUUAAUAAACUAUGUCUUAGAAAAACACAAAAAUUAAAUGAAAGUUACAAAUUCUUGAAAACUUUUCUCAUCAUAUUUAUACAAUCUUUAUACUAUUAAUAUGCCUCACCAGAGCAUUAUAUCUGUAGAUGUUUAUGAAACUAUGUAUAUAAACCAUUAUUACUAUAUCUACAACUUACUUUUGAAUUCAUUCUGGAAGUUGUAUAUUCUAAAGAUUAAGACAAUAUAUGACCAUAUACACUUCAUCAGAACUCAAUAUUUUAUCACCCUAAAUAUCCUUUGCUGGCUAAGUAUCCCUCUCCCUCAAGCUCUAAUCAUUUCUGAAAACCAUUAAUCAUUUUACUGUCCUUGCAGAUUUCAGUAUUCCACAAAGUCAUAGAGUUGGAAUUAGUAUGUUGACAUAUUUGUUUGAGUACUCCAGAGGAACAACAUAAGUAGAAAAUACAAACAUUUAUUCAAGAGGAUUUUUUUAGUAAGGUUACAGAAUGAGAAGCAGAAAAGUCCACAGUGAUUAUCUGUGUGAGGGAGAACUGGAAGAUACAGAAGUUGUUCAACCCAGGAUGAUGGACAAGAAGGAUCAAGGACACAGCACCAGUCCAAGAUCAAAAGCCUGGAAACUGACUAGCGUGACAUCUGUGUAAGUCUGCACUGGAAGGCUGAAGAAAGUAGAAACCGACAACCAAAGGUGAUGGGAAUCUUAGAGCUCUUCCAAACAUGUGACUAUAAGCAUUUUUAAAUGCAUGUUGUCAUUUAUCAUUGUGUUUGUUGAGACUUUUGCUCAAAUCUUUUGCCUAUUUUUGCAAUCAGAAUUUUUUUCUUACUGUUAUUAUAAAGGAGUGCUUGCACAUUUUGGAAUAUUGCUUUCAUUAGAGGUUUACUGAAGAAACAUUUUCUCUCAGUCUGUGGAGUUGUGGCUUCAUUUUCUUAUUGUUGUCUUUUGCAUGGCUGGAGCUUUCAGUUUUAAUAAAGUGAGUGUUUUCAACUAUUUUUUAAUAUCUUUGUUAUUAGAGAUAUCAUCAAAAAGUCACCUAGGCUUUCUUUUAGGUUAUCCUCCAUGAGUUUUACAGUUUUGAAGUCUAUUUUUAAGAACAUGGUCCACUUUGAGUUACUUUUUGUGAAGUUUAUAAAGUUUAUAUCUACAUUAAUUUGUUUUACAACCAGAUGUCCAGUAUUUUCAUGGUCAUUUAUUUAAGUCUACCUACUUUGUAUGUGUUUUACCGAUACACAGUUGAUUAUAUUUCUGUGUUGCUAUUUAUGGGCUCACUAUUGCAUUCAUUUAUCUCUUUGCUUAUUGUCUUGGUUACUUUUUACUCAUUGCUGAGACAAAAUAUCCCACAAAGUGGGAAAGGAAAGAUUUUUUUUUUACAGUUUUUGGUGGUUUCAGUCCAUACUCAGUUGGCUCCAAGGCAGGGUGGCAUGGCAUAGCCGCAGUUCAUGGAGGCUGCAAACAGCAAGGCUGAAACCAGCAAAAGAGCCUGACACACCGUCUUCCUGUCAUUACAUCACAUCCUGGCUCCACCCCUCUGUGGGUGGAGCACUCAGACCAUCAAUCCAAGCACUAGACGAUGAACCAAUCACAAAUGCACGAUGCAAACUCAUGAGGCCUGGGGGACACAACAUACACCAUGACACUUCCUCUUUCACCAGUAUCAUGUUAUUCUGAACACUUUUUCUUGAUAGUUACAUUUAAUUAUUAACAACUUUUUAAAUUUUUUUUUAAAUUGUAAGUAGGCAGAUUAAAUCUCAAAUUGCUUCACCAACCCAUUAAAGUAUCUAAAAUUACCCGCAGCUUCUAUUAAAAUGCAUAUUUAUUUUGAGAAGACUCAUUGUAGAUUUAGUACUGUGCAUUGUAAAUAAGCACAGGAUGAUGGUUCCUAGAUCAUAUUUUUAAAAAUAAACCAAAAUAGCAAACUAACUUUGAGGCUGUUUAACCAGUGACUCUAGAAAAUGUUCUUCUCUAUUAUACACAUAUAUACUUUUUAAUAAAAAAGGAUAGUCUCUAAAACUUUUAAUAAAAUAAACACAUCAUCUCAAAUAAUCAUAUAUCUAUAUUUUUACUUGAUUUAAAACAUAUUAAUAUAUGUUUUAUAUAUAAAUGAUUCUUAACAGAUGAACAAAGCUCCUGUAGUCAGACUUUAUUUUGGAAGUCAUUGUGGUCAAAUAGCAUGUUCUUUGAUUUAAACAGUAUUUUAUUAAGCUAAUUUAAAUUUUAUGUAUAUAAAAUUGCUAUCAUUUUUUAUGUAAGCCCUGGGAUAUCCUAAUAAUACAUUUUGUCUACUUGGUAAUAAUUUAUUGACGAGUAAAAAUUAUUACAAUAAUUUUUAGUAUAAUGAAAUAUUUGUCAACCUCUUGGGUUUCAUAGAUUUAGUAAAUCAUUUUCAGGAAUAUAUAAAACUUAUUAAAGUAAACACUAAAAGUAAGCAGUCUCAAUACAAAACUAGAAAGGAAGAAAAGAAACCUAGAAAAUGGAUUAGGAGGGUAAAGGUCUAGUUUUUAAUUUUAACUGGAAAAAUCAUAGAAAAUUAGAUUUAUAAAACUAUAUAGAAAUUUUACCAACUUAUUUCUUGCAUCUGAUUGCAUUAUUGUGUUUUCAAGAAACAUCAUUUUCAAAUUAACCUCCAUUAAAUCUCAAAGUAUCCACUUGUUUUCAGUGACUUCAUAGCUUUUCAUGUCCUCCAUUUUUUGUGUUUGAGUGUUGUAAACUAUGAUGAAUUGGAAAAGAUUGAUUUCACUGCACAUUAGAUAUUACUUGACUAAAAAAAUUAUAUGUAAUUAGGAUGUUUAAUGUAGCUGUUUUCAAAUGGUUGGUAGAUGUAGUUCCCUUCAUCAGAAUGAUUAAACUUGCUUCUUCAGAAAAAAGAUGUAGAGAGACGGCGACAUGAACUACAAAAGCUACUCACAGAAAUAAUCCAGAAGAAUUUUCCUAAUUUAGCAAAAGGUAAAGAUACUCAGAUGUAUGAAGCAUUCAGGACCCCAGCCACCUACAACCCAAACAGAGCUACACCCAGGCAUAUAAUAAUCAAAAUACCAGAAAUCCAAUAUAAGAACAGAAUAUUAAAAGCUGUCAGAGACAAGAAACAGAUCACUUACAAGGGUACACCCAUCAGAAUUACAGCAGAUUUCUCGGCACAAACCAUCAAAUCACGAAGAGUGUGGGGGGAAAUAAUUCAAGCUUUGAAAGAUAAUAACCUCCAGCCAAGAUUGAAAUGUCCUGCACAACUAUCCCUGGAAAUUGAUGGAAAAACAAGGUGCUUCCAGGAUAAAGAGGAACUAGGGGAAUAUGCAACCACCAAUCCAACUUUACAGAGAAUACUUCAGGAUAUUCUAAAAAAGGAAAA